rnacentral:tRNA from 1 species
UUAGCUCAGUUGGUUAGAGCAGACGGCUCAUAACCGUCCGGUCGUAGGUUCGAGUCCUACA